CGAAAAAUCCCUAGGACCCUAGAGCUGAAAGAAAAAAGCUGCCAGCAGCUUAAAAAAAAACGCACAGAAGAAGCAGCUGAAAAAAUUUGGCCAUCCUCUCGCUGGCUUCUCUUCCUCGUAACAACAGCUCCAAACAACUUCCAAAAGUCCUGUUUUCCUCCAUGAAUAUGCCUUGAAAACUCCAUAAAAACCAACAAAGAGAGCUCCAUUUUCCCACUUAAACAGCCACCCAAAAACAGCUGAAACAACCGUGAACAACCACCAAGACGAACAGCUCCUUAACCUCAAAAAUAGCCCCAAUUUCUUCCAACAAAACACGCUCAAAACCAGCCGUUAAAACACCAUUUUCAAUCGAGUUUGAGGUCGCUGCCGAGGUCGCAUUCGAGCUCUGUUCGAGUUCCCAACGUCGCCAAGAUUCUCUGGUCGAAGGCGAGUUUCCGUUGGAUAACUCCGUCCGCUGGUCCGAUAGGCAGUAGCUUUUUUCACUUUUGGGGGAGAAGCAUCUUGAGCCAGGUUUUAUUCAGGUGGUUGGUUUUGUUGGUACGCGGUGAUGAAUGCGCAACCUUGCACGUGGCCACAAUAUUAUACACAAAAUCGAGUUCUACCUCCCAGAAAUGCCCUUCCUUACCAAGCUCCAUACAAUCCCCAAUCAAAUGUUUCUCAGUACAAUCCUCGCCCAAGAGAACCUUUCAAAAGGAAUCAGUUCACCCGCUCCAUACAAUUCAGCCGCUACAUUUUUGGUUGGCAGCAAAUGGUACCCUUUGAACCUUUAAAUGAUCAGAGAAGCUGGGAGCCUGUAUCUGUUUAUUAUAAUGAAACUUAGUUUGCUUAAAUGUUUGUUUAAAUCUCAUAUAGAUGUUUUAUGUAAUAUGAUACUUGAUCACGCCCAACUCUAGUCCUAAAAAGGA